rnacentral:rRNA from 1 species
UACGUAGGGUGCAAGCGUUAAUCGGAAUUACUGGGCGUAAAGCGUGCGCAGGCGGUUUUGUAAGUCUGUCGUGAAAUCCCCGGGCUCAACCUGGGAAUUGCGAUGGAGACUGCAAGGCUAGAAUCUGGCAGAGGGGGGUAGAAUUCCACGUGUAGCAGUUGAAAUGCGUAGAGAUGUGGAGGAACACCGAUGGCGAAGGCAGCCCCCUGGGUCAAGAU